UACGUAGGGUGCAAGCGUUGUCCGGAAUUAUUGGGCGUAAAGAGCUCGUAGGCGGUUUGUCGCGUCUGCUGUGAAAACCCGAGGCUCAACCUCGGGCCUGCAGUGGGUACGGGCAGACUAGAGUGCGGUAGGGGAGAUUGGAAUUCCUGGUGUAGCGGUGGAAUGCGCAGAUAUCAGGAGGAACACCAAUGGCGAAGGCAGAUCUCUGGGCCGCAACUGACGCUGAGGAGCGAAAGCAUGGGGGAGCGAACAGG
rnacentral:rRNA from 1 species